UGAAAACUUUCUCUGAAUUCAGUUAUUCUUCCCUUACAACAGUGCUUUACGACCCGAAAGCCUUCAUCACACACGCGGCGUCGCUCCGUCACACUUUCGUGCAUUGCGGAAAAUUCCCUACUGCAGCCUCCCGUAGGAGUUUGGGCAGUGUCUCAGUCCCAAUGUGGCCGGCCAGUCUCUCAACUCGGCUACGCAUCAUUGCCUUGGUAGGCUUCUACCCUACCAACAAGCUAAUACGCCGCAAGACCAUCCUCUAGCGAUCCAAAAGGACCUUUCAAACAGAUCACAUGUGUGAUUUGUUGUUACGCGGUAUUAGCAUCUGUUUCCAAAUGUUAUCCCCCACUAAAGGGCAGGUUUCUUACGUGUUACUCACCAGUUCGCCACUCUAGUCAUUGCCUCACUUCACCCGAAGGA
rnacentral:rRNA from 1 species